rnacentral:rRNA from 1 species
GAUGAACGCUGGCGGCGUGCCUAAUACAUGCAAGUCGAGCGAACGGACGAGAAGCUUGCUUCUCUGAUGUUAGCGGCGGACGGGUGAGUAACACGUGGAUAACCUACCUAUAAGACUGGGAUAACUUCGGGAAACCGUAGCUAAUACCGGAUAAUAUUUUGAACCGCAUGGUUCAAAAGUGAAAGACGGUCUUGCUUUCACUUAUAGAUGGAUCCGCGCUGCAUUAGCUAGUUGGUAAGGUAACGGCUUACCAAGGCAACGAUGCAUAGCCGACCUGAGAGGGUGAUCGGCCACACUGGAACUGAGACACGGUCCAGACUCCUACGGGAGGCAGCAGUAGGGAAUCUUCCGCAAUGGGCGAAAGCCUGACGGAGCAACGCCGCGUGAGCGAUGAAGGUCUUCGGAUCGUAAAACUCUGUUAUUAGGGAAGAACAUAUGUGUAAGUAACUGUGCACAUCUUGACGGUACCUAAUCAGAAAGCCACGGCUAACUACGUG